GUGGCCGUAGCUCAGUUGGUAGAGCACAGGAUUGUGGCUCCUGAGGUCGCGGGUUCGAUCCCCGUCGGCCACC
rfam:Microbulbifer sp. ZGT114 ZB100000, whole genome shotgun sequence.